AGAAUCAGUUGGUGGAUCCUAUAUACACGUUAUAACCCGGUUUCCUAUCUUAGAACCCUAAUUGUCGUUCUAACUCAAUAACCCUGUUCGAUUAAAGAGCUUACAAUUCUAAGUUCCAUCACUUCUAUCUCCCCCAGACUCAAACGUCGUUCAUUUGAUUUUAGCAGUUAUUUACAACCGUAUGUCAAUUUUCGUUCAUCCCUUUAUUGUAAAUGCUUUCCAGGUUAAGGAUUACGUGUUCUUCUUAAUCAAUUGGUAAGAUUUUUUCUAUAGUAGUUUAUGUUACGGUAAACUUGGUAAAGUAUACAUUCGAUUUCUUUAAUUGAUGUUAGUUAAAGAUUUUUUCAAACGUCUCUGGCCACUGUUUCUGCUUUCAUGAGGAAUUCCUUUGGGUAGUGGGAGAAAACUGGUUUUGAAUUUUGAAAUUAUGAACGACAAAUACUAUUUUUCUUUAAAUUUCAUUUGUUAUGUUUAUUGUUCUGAAAGGGAAGAACAUGGUGCUGAAACAAUUCCAUCCUUGCCGCUCAUCUUGAGAAACAAAAGAUUGAUAUAAGAAUUCUAAUUUCUAUUUGUCGAUCAAAAGCCUGUUCCUUCACUUCGGAUCUGUUUGAAUGACCUGGGUAUUAAUGGUGUUUUGUUUCAUAUGAUAUCAUUUUUGCCAUUCAAGUUUGUUGUUUAAGUACUCUAAAUGGAGCAUAUAAGUGAAUGGGUCAAAAUUAAGUGUUUGUGAAGUAACAUGAUUUUGUUGUGUGUGAUCUGAGUUCCAAGUGAUGGAUUUUCUUUCAUGAUAUUUACCACCAUUUAUUUGGUUCGUUAGUACUAAAACAUUGGCGAAGCAUAGUGGGGGCGGGAGGGGGCGGUCGACCUCCCCAAACUUUUCGCUCAGUAGUGCAAAGUAUGUAGUUUUCGUAUAAAAUUUUUUGGGUAUAUACAUUUUCGACCCCCCGUUUUAUAGAAAUUUUUGGGUAUAUACGUUUUCUACACCCCGUCAGAAAUCUCAAGCUUCGUCACUGUACUAAAACACUUUUUGGUUAUGGUACUACAUGCUUAAACAAGUUCAGGCAGUCGGAAUCUUAGUUGAACUAUAUCAGGUAUAUUUCUCAUUACCAAAGAAAUGUUGUGCGAUAAUUCAACAUCUUUUAUAUCAUACUUAUUAAGGUAGUGUACCUAUGUUGUUCGGUUGGGCCACAAAUGCAUAGAUCCAACUGAAGCAUAUAGAAUAUAAAUAAAGCAUAGAUCCGAACACUUAAAACCACUAUUCAAAUUUGAAUUGAUUAGCUAACUUAUUCAAUAUCUUUUAAAAAAUUAUUGUACUUGCUCGGUUUAAUGUUGAAGUAGAAUAGUUACUUUGCUUAUACUACCCAAUAUCCCCUCUAAUAGAGGGUGCUUUUUUUGUAUUUUGAAUAAUUUUCAAAGUGCAUGACAUGGUUGCAUCUUCACUAAUCAAAAGCAUGUUGUUAUAAUGACUAUUUUAAUUGUAAAUAGGCUAAUUACAUCUAUUGACUUUAUUAUGCAAAAAGUCCACUUUAUGCCAUCAAAAUGUAAAGAAAAAAAAUGUUUUUUUUUUGCAACUCUAAAACCAUUCAAAGUCUGGUGUGGAUGUUGCAAUUCUAUGAUUGUAGAGGGUGUAAGGUUUAAUGUUGAAAAGAAGCAAGUGGGGAAUUAUUAUUCCACGAAAGGUAAACUGCAUUUUUUGAACUCAUGAAUAAUAUCAUCUGUUCACUCUUUUGUCUCGAGUUUCUUUUGGUGAUUCUUGCUCCUUACUUAAUAUAGAACAUCACUAUGAAAUCUACAUGCCGCCAGCAUGAAAUUGUAAUUCAUACCUAUCCAAAGAACAUUGAAUAUCUUGUCAUUAGCGGUGCUCAAAAUAAGGUUGAAGAGUUUGAUACCAAAGAUGAAGAAACUGUGGCACUCCCUAUUGAUGAAGAGAGAAGCAAGUAAACAGAUUCUUUCUAUCGCCUUGAACACCAAGAAGAGGAUUUAAUAAAUAAAAAAGUAGAGUCAUUGCUGGUGCGACUUCAAAGAGUAUCCGAUGCUAUACAUUUGGACGAUUACUCCAUAAACAAGUCAUUGUGUGCCAAACUUAGAAUAUAGACUUUUCGCUAAUCAAGCAUUUAAAAUUGGUUUUAAAAAGUGUGCUCAUGCGCCAAGCGAUUUGAAAAAUGCUUAAGAUCCUUCGGGCGGUGUUCAUGUACAUGUUGGUCAAAUUAGUCAAGUAUAGGGCACCGAGGAGGCGGAAAUGUAAAAAUGACGAAUAUGAUGAAGAUAUUAUGAAUAGUUUAUUUGAUUA